UAUUUACCUUUAAAUUUUGCAUCUCAAUAUUUAAACAAAUAUUGAUAAAACAUUGAACCUGGCACCACUGACGUAGAAUUAGUUUUGGUUGUCAAACGUGAAGAACGAAAAAAUCGGUGUGGUCUUCUCGUGUUUCAUCCGUUGAAAAUUACGUUCCGCGCGAAUCCGGCGAAAUAGCGCACAAAUUUGUUAGACCGCAAUAUCGAUGCCAUGAUUUUGUGGCGCUGGCUAGAUGAAACCUUUUCAACACAGUCCGGGAGACGGAACGAAGUUUAUUCAGCAAUUGCGAUGUUCUGUGAGCGGUUAUGCUACAUCUGCCGCUAGUUCCAGUCAGGGACUAGACCGAUCUUUGAAGCGGCUGGAAGAAGAUGUAAAACGCUCUGGAAGAAUUUUACGCCGAGAUCUGAUAGAUGUUCCGGAGGGAAUCCGUAUUAACCGUUCCGCUUCCAGCGGUCAAUCUUGACUGGUUAUUCCUUGUUGCGGUCACCUAGUUCCAGAAGACCUUCCCGAGGUGCGUAAAGCUCUGAAGCUUGCACGCAGCAAUGGACAUUUCCCACUACAACGCCCUUCUUCGGGUGUAUAUAGAUAAUGAACAACGGAAUUUCUGGCGGAUUUGCAGGCCAAGGGAGUUGAACCGAAUCGGGUCACCUAUCAGCGAUCAAUUUCGCGCUACUGCCAAGAGGGAGCAAACAAGACUCUGGAAUUCCUGCGAGAGAAGCAGCUUACAGUAAUUGAAUGCGUUUUCAACGCUGCGCCAGGACAAUUUGUUUUUUGCUACGCAUCGAUAUAGAGCGGCGCGGAAAAACAAUAU